ensembl:lncRNA
GCUUUAUGCUGGUAUGUUCCAAGCCUCCCCCUUUUCCUACACAGAUGGUACGGUCUAUACUGAGAAGGUCAAAUUACUCUGCACGUCGCGCGCGUCCGGUGAAACUGCGGCUCGUGUCAGAGUAACCGGCUCGGGACAGGCGGCUUUCCGCAGCAUGAAGUGAAUAGAGCAUACCCUGCUCUGAUUGGUCAGAUGUCCCAGUUUAUUGUGAUUGGUCUACUGCUGUCAGCGUGUGCUGAUUGAAAAGGAAACGCCCACUACUAUAGAGUUCCAGCUCCAUCUGACACAAAUGUCUGUUUUACUCUAUCAAUUUGAGCCCGAAUCGGACAACGAUGAUGCAUCGGAAGAUAAACCCGAACCACCAUGGCGACGAGAACGGGACGUUUCUUAGUGGUCCGCUCCCUGAAGCAAAGCCUCUCCUCCGGACUUUCCGGAAGCUUCUGUACUGGACAGAGGAGACAUCUGCAACAUGUUCAGCACCAAAGGUCAGGGUGACAUCACUGUUUUUGUGUUGUUUCUUGUGGACAUACGUGAACGCAAGAAGGAAAAUGUCACAAACCUCUCGGGCAGACCAUUUGGAAAGGCUAAUGCAGCAGAUUCCAAAGUGACAUUUGAGUCAUAGGCUUUAUUUUCAGAUAUGAUUCAGAUUUUGUGAGGAAAACGAAGACCGAGCUGAUUUCAGGUCAGAAAUGAGGCCUUUCCUCGACUGUCGAAGUAUCCGUAACUGCCUUACGUUAUGCUCGAGCAUUUCAUCCACAUUCGAACGUUCUGCAAACCAUGUUCUACUAUUAGUCACCAAUGAAUGAAUGAAUGAACGCCUUUUAUUGUCACUAUACAUAUGUACAAUGAAAUUAAGAGCCACUCCUUUUGGUUCCGUGCAAACAUAUACAUUCAAUACACAAGAAGAAUAAACAGAUAAAUAAACAAGAUAAAUAAACAAAAUAAAUAAACAAGAUAUACAAUAUAUGCAAGAUAGAUAUGCAAGAUAGAUAUUGGGGUGGAUGGGGGAGGUACUAUGAAAUGCACAGUUUUGAGACACUAUAUACAUAUGCUGUGGACUCAGUACAUGUGUUUGUUUAUGAUGGUAAUAGCUUUCGGGAAGAAAACUAUUCUUAAAUCUAAUAGUCCUUGUUCAAGCGUAAGGUAAUUGUGAUGUGUUUACUCAAUGGCAACCUUUUUGAGUGUUACUGUCUAUACAUGACUCUCUCUAAAUCUUCAUGCUGUAACACCAUACUGUAAGGUCUGUUUACUGUGAGGAAAGACACGAACAGAUGGGUUCCUCAGGAAACAUACAUGUUCUAAUUGACAUAAAGGCUGACUGAACAUAACAACCUGUCCAUUCUAACAGCUGAACCUGAAACUUUUAAUAGCUGAACACAAAUCAGCAUCGUCAUCACUUAUAUACCAGCAACUGGGGUGCCUGAGACUGAAGUGUGUCUUCUAACAAAAUAACACCCGUUCAUUAAAAUUCUGACAAGCACAGGGAGGUAAUUAAACCUGUGGGGACGCGUCACGCUUGGCGAAAGCGGCGGUGGGAGGAUGCGGAUUUACACGAGGAAUCAA